CAGUAGCCACGGGAAUACGAAGGGGGCUAGCGUUGUUCGGAAUUACUGGGCGUAAAGCGCACGUAGGCGGACAUUUAAGUCAGGGGUGAAAUCCCGGGGCUCAACCCCGGAACUGCCUUUGAUACUGGGUGUCUAGAGUAUGGAAGAGGUGAGUGGAAUUCCGAGUGUAGAGGUGAAAUUCGUAGAUAUUCGGAGGAACACCAGUGGCGAAGGCGGCUCACUGGUCCAUUACUGACGCUGAGGUGCGAAAGCGUGGGGAGCAAACAGGAUUAGAUACCCCAGUAGUCCCUGUCUCUUAUAC
rnacentral:rRNA from 1 species